rnacentral:rRNA from 1 species
UGCGUAGGCGGGUUUCUAAGUCAGAGGUGAAAGCCUGGAGCUCAACUCCAGAACUGCCUUUGAUACUGGAAGUCUUGAGUAUGGCAGAGGUGAGUGGAACUGCGAGUGUAGAGGUGAAAUUCGUAGAUAUUCGCAAGAACACCAGUGGCGAAGGCGGCUCACUGGGCCAUUACUGACGCUGAGGCACGAAAGCGUGGGGAGCAAACA